ACAACAGGUGGAGCCUGCGGUUUAAUCGGACUCAACGCCGGGAAACUCACCAGAUAAGACAGCUGAAUGAUAGUCGGGCUGAAGACUCUACUUGACUAGCUGAGAGGAGGUGCAUGGCCGUCGUCAGUUCGUACUGUGAAGCAUCCUGUUAAGUCAGGCAACGAGCGAGACCCACGCCAACAGUUGCCAGCUCGUCCUCCGGGAUGGAGGGGACACUGUUGGGACCGCCUCUGCUAAAGAGGAGGAAGGAAUGGGCAACGGUAGGUCAGCAUGCCCCGAAUUAUCUGGGCUACACGCGGGCUACAAUGGGUGGGACAAUGGGUAUCGACACCGAAAGGUGAAGGCAAUCUCCUAAACCCAUCCUUAGUUCGGAUUGUGGGCUGCAACUCGCCCACAUGAAGCUGGAAUCUGUAGUAAUCGUGUUUCAAAAUGGCACGGUGAAUAUGUCCCUGCUCCUU
rnacentral:rRNA from 1 species